GACGAACGCUGGCGGCGUGCUUAACACAUGCAAGUCGAACGAAGAGCGAUGGAAGCUUGCUUCUAUCAAUCUUAGUGGCGAACGGGUGAGUAACGCGUAAUCAACCUGCCCUUCAGAGGGGGACAACAGUUGGAAACGACUGCUAAUACCGCAUACGAUCUAAUCUCGGCAUCGAGGAUAGAUGAAAGGUGGCCUCUAUAUGUAAGCUAUCACUGAAGGAGGGGAUUGCGUCUGAUUAGCUAGUUGGAGGGGUAACGGCCCACCAAGGCGAUGAUCAGUAGCCGGUCUGAGAGGAUGAGCGGCCACAUUGGGACUGAGACACGGCCCAGACUCCUACGGGAGGCAGCAGUGGGGAAUCUUCCGCAAUGGACGAAAGUCUGACGGAGCAACGCCGCGUGAGUGAUGACGGCCUUCGGGUUGUAAAGCUCUGUUAAUCGGGACGAAAGGCCUUCUUGCGAAUAGUGAGAAGGAUUGACGGUACCGGAAUAGAAAGCCACGGCUAACUACGUGCCAGCAGCCGCGGUAAUACGUAGGUGGCAAGCGUUGUCCGGAAUUAUUGGGCGUAAAGCGCGCGCAGGCGGAUAGGUCAGUCUGUCU
rnacentral:rRNA from 1 species